UUUCCAUAUAAAUACGAUAUAAACAAAAAUGAGCUAUAUAGCCAGUAGCCACGACAGUGUGGGCAUUAGCAGAGCUAUAAAAUUGACGGGAGACUUUUCGUAACCGUACCAAUGGCCGCAAUAGCUAUGUGGACAAGGAUCUGUUAAUCAGUUGUCAUAUCAUACAAUAUCAAAACUUAACUCCAGCCGAGUAGGUUUGUAAGUGGAGGAAUACAAGAAGAAAACUGGUAUUUACAUUGUCAGCCAGAGCAUUCGCCUCUAUUACCGCGUCUGAUGACUAAACCAAUCAACAAUUCCUCAUUGAAGGUGUGUGCAAUGCAUAAAAAAUAGAAGCAUUAAGUCUAGUUUAACGUUUAUUUAAUAAAAUAAUUGUUGUGUCUUUGAUUUUAAUAAAGAGCCAAUGGGUAUACUAUGGUUA